CACCUGGCGCCACAAGUGGCAACCACAUUUAUUGGGCCUAAAGCGUCCGUAGCCUGUUUAAUGAAUCUUUUGUGAAAUUGUUGGGCUUAACUUAACAGCGCGCAAAAGACACUAUUAAACUUGGGACCGGAGAGGGGUUAGAGGUAUUUUUGGGGGAGCGGUAAAAUGCUAUAAUCCCAGAAGGACCGCCAGUGGCGGAGGCGUCUAACCAGAACGGAUCCGACGGUGAGGGACGAAAGCCAGGGGAGCAAUCCGGAUUAGAUAUCGAGACUUCCGUCUCAGAAAUCAUUCUCGUUUGUUGCUAUAAUAUUACUGAACGAGGGAUGUUAUCGGAGGUAUUCACUCGACUAAUUACCCGAGUAGUCCUGGCCGUAAACGCUGCGAGCUAGGUGUCGCGUAUCUCUGAAGAUGCGCGGUGUCGAAGCGAAGGUGUUAAGCUCGCCGCCUGGGAAGUAUGGUCGCAAGACUGAAACUUAAAGGAAUUGGCGGGGGCACACCACAAGGGGUGCGGCGUGCGGUUUAAUCUAAUUCAACACAGAGAAUCUCACCAGAGGCGACGGCAGAAUGAAAGUCAGGCUGAAGACCUUACUUGACGAGCCGAGAGGUAGUGCAUGGCCGCCGUCAGCUCGUGCCGCAAGGUGUCCAGUUAAGUCUGGCAACGAGCGAGACCUGUGUUUACAAUUGCUAGCAUUUUCUUUAGAAGGUGCGCACAUUGUAAAGACUGCCAUGGAAACGUGGAGGAAGGCGCAGGCAACGGUAGGUCAGUAUGCUCCGAAUCCUCUGGGCUACACGCGCGCAACAAUGGUAAGGACAAUGGGAUACGACUCCGAAAGGAGAAGUUAAGCCUCGAAACCUUACCUUAGUUCAGAUUGAGGAUUGAAACUCAUCCUCAUGACGCUGGAAUCCCUAGUAAUUGGACGUCAUCAGCGUCCAGUGAAUAUGUCCCUGUGCCU
rnacentral:rRNA from 1 species